GGCCAGACUCCUACGGGAGGCAGCAGUGGGGAAUAUUGCACAAUGGGGGGAACCCUGAUGCAGCGACGCCGCGUGGGUGAAGAAGCGCCUCGGCGCGUAAAGCCCUGUCAGCAGGGAAGAAAAUGACGGUACCUGAAGAAGAAGCCCCGGCUAACUACGUGCCAGCAGCCGCGGUAAUACGUAGGGGGCAAGCGUUAUCCGGAUUUACUGGGUGUAAAGGGGGCGCAGACGGCGAUGCAAGCCAGGAGUGAAAGCCCGGGGCCCAACCCCGGGACUGCUCUUGGAACUGCGUGGCUGGAGUGCAGGAGGGGCAGGCGGAAUUCCUGGUGUAGCGGUGAAAUGCGUAGAUAUCAGGAGGAACACCGGUGGCGAAGGCGGCCUGCUGGACUGCAACUGACGUUGAGGCCCGAAAGCGUGGGGAGCAAACAGGAUUAGAUACCCCCGUAGAG
rnacentral:rRNA from 1 species